UAAAUAAUCCUACCCUUUGUGAAUUUUGUUUGUUUGAAUAAUUUUUUUUUUAAAAAAUUAUUGGAGUCUUUCCCUUUAGUUUGCUUUUGAGUUUGUAAAAGAAUUCGAAAACAUCUAAAGGGGAUGGUCAAUAAUUUUUUUGAAAAAAGACAUUUUUUAAAAUUAAACUUUUUGUAUUCAUUUGUCUAAAAAUUAUUUUUAUAAUAUAAAAACAACUUUUGACAAUGGAUCUCUUGGUUCUCGCAACGAUGAAGAACGCAGCAAAAUGCGAUAAGUAGUGUGAAUUGCAGAAUACGUGAAUCAUCGAACUUUGAACGCAUAUUGCACUUUUUUAGUUUACUAAAAAAGUAUGUCUUUUGAGUAUCAGUAAAAUAUUCUCAUAAAAAUCAUUGUAUUUUUAUGGUUAUGGUGUUUUACAACGAUACAAGUUGUUUCACUUUAAAUUUUUUUUUAAUAUUGAAAUUUUUCUAAUUUUAAUAAUUAAAAUUGGAUAAAUUUUCCCGUCAAAGGAAUAACCUAAACAAUUUUAAAUGAUUAAUUUUAGCAAAAUUUUCGUAAAAAAGGAAAAUUUUUAUUAAAAUAACUUGAUCUCAAAUCAGAUAAGAGUACCCGCUGAACUUAAGCAUAUCAAUAAGCGGAGGAAAAGAAACUAACAAGGAUUCCCUUAGUAACGGCGAGUGAAGCGGGAAGAGCUCAAAUUCGAAAUCUUCAAGGUUUUACCUUGACGAAUUGUAGUUUAAAGAAGUGUUUUCUGCUGAAGUUUUGGUAAAAGUUCUUUGGAAUAGGACAUCAUAGAGGGUGAGAAUCCCGUAUUUGACCAUUAUUUUCAGCUUUGUGAUACACUUUCAAAGAGUCGGAUUGUUUGGGAAUGCAGUCCAAAAUGGUGGUAAAUUUCAUCUAAAGCUAAAUAUUGGCGAGAGACCGAUAGCGAACAGUACCGUGAGGGAAAGAUGAAAAGAACUUUGAAAAGAGAGUUAAACAGUACGUGAAAUUGUCAAAAGGGAAGCGUUUGACACCAGUGUUGUUUUCUCGAAAAUCAAUUAAAAAUGGCUCGAUUUUGUAUUGCUGAGACCUUAAAAGCUCACUGUACAUUUUUCGUGUCUUUUUAAUGCACUUUUCGUUUAACAAGUCAACAUCAGUCUCUUUGUUGUAAAAGGGUCAUUGGAAGGUGGCUUUCUUUUCGGAGAAAGUGUUAUAGCCUUUGGCCUCUGCAAUCGGAGAGACUGAGGUCUGCAGCGUAGACUCUUCGGGGUUAGAUACAUUUGUGCUAAGUUAUAGCUUUUUAUAGACAACUUGUUGACUAUAAUUAGUCUUGUAGCUUACUCGCUUAUGCUAUUUUACCUACGCUUAGGAUG
rnacentral:misc_RNA from 1 species